rnacentral:rRNA from 1 species
UACGUAGGGGGCGAGCGUUGUCCGAAGUUACUGGCGUAAAGCGCGCGUAGGCGGGUUGGCAAGUCUGCUGUGAAAGCCCGGGGCUUAACUCCGGAGGGUCGGUGGAUACUGCCAGUCUUGAAGGUGCUAGGGAGAGAUGGAAUUACCGGUGUAGCGGUGAAAUGCGUAGAUAUCGGUAGGAACACCAGUGGCGAAGGCGGUCUCUUGGGGCAUUCUUGACGCUGAGGCGCGAAAGCUGGGGGAGCGAACGGG